GGGGGACAUGUUCACUGGGAUACGAGAUAUAAGAUUGCAGUGGAGUCGGCGAAGGGGUUGUGUUAUCUUCAUCAUGAUUGCUCGCCGCUGAUUAUUCAUCGGGAUGUCAAGUCAAACAAUAUAUUGUUGGAUUCUGGCUUUGAAGCUCAUGUGGCAGACUUCGGCCUUGCUAAGUUCUUGCAGGACUCCGGCGCUUCAGAGUGCAUGUCGGCAAUUGCUGGCUCCUACGGCUACAUUGCGCCAGAGUAUGCAUACACAUUGAAGGUUGACGAGAAGAGCG
rnacentral:misc_RNA from 1 species